rnacentral:tRNA from 1 species
GCCGGGGUGGCGGAACUGGCAGACGCGCAGGUCUCAAAAACCUGUGGUAGCAAUACCAUGUGGGUUCGAUUCCCUCCCCCGGCACCA